rnacentral:rRNA from 1 species
GCAAGUCGAGGGGCAGCACGAGUAGCAAUACUUGGUGGCGACCGGCGGACGGGUGAGUAACGCGUAUGCAACCUACCUAUAACAGGGGAAUAAUUCGAAGAAAUUUGAUCUAAUACCCCGUAAUACUUUAGAAGACAUCUUUUAAGGUUGAAAGAUUUAUCGGUUAUAGAUGGGCAUGCGUGACAUUAGUUAGAUGGUGAGGUAACGGCUCACCAUGGCAGCGAUGUCUAGGGGUCCUGAGAGGGUGAUC